rnacentral:tRNA from 1 species
GCCUGGGUGGCUCAGUCGGUUGAGCGCCCCACUUCGACUCAGGUCAAGAUCUCCUGGUUCGUGGGUUCAAGUCCCGCAUCAGGCU